CGUAUGACCGCCCCGGUGGCCUGGUGGUUAGAGCGUCCGCCUCGAAUGCGGGAGAUCGCAGGUUUGAACCCCGGCCGAAUUAUACGA